rnacentral:rRNA from 1 species
UACGAAGGGUGCUAGCGUUGUUCGGAAUUACUGGGCGUAAAGAGCGCGUAGGCGGUUGUACAAGUCAGGGGUGAAAUCCCGGAGCUUAACUCCGGAACUGCCUUUGAAACUGUACAGCUGGAGUGUGUGAGGGGAUAGCGGAAUUCCUAAUGUAGAGGUGAAAUUCGUAGAUAUUAGGAGGAACACCGGUGGCGAAGGCGGCUAUCUGGCGCACAACUGACGCUGAGGCGCGAAAGCGUGGGGAUCAAACAGG